rnacentral:rRNA from 1 species
AUUAGGAAUCUUGCGCAAUGGACGAAAGUCUGACGCAGCGACACCGCGUGGAGGAUGAAGGUUUUCGGAUUGUAAACUCCUUUUAUCUGUGAACAAGUUCUGAGUGUAACAGAUGAAUAAGGCCCCCCUAACUACGUGCCAGAAGGGUCGGUGAUGCGUAGGGGCCAAACGUUAUCCGGAAUUACUGGGCGUAAAGAGAUGCGUAGGCGUUUUGGUAAGUCGAAUGUUAAAGCCUGGAGCUCAACUCCAGAAUCGCGUUCGAAACUACUAAAAUUGAGUCAGAUAGGGGAAAGCGGAAUUCUAGGUGUAGCGGUGAAAUGCGUUGAUAUCUAGAAGAACAUCAAUGGCGAAGGCAGCUUUCUGGAUCUUGACUGACGCUAAGGCUCGAAAGCGUGGGGAGCAAAACGGAUUAGAUACCCGAGUAGUCC